rnacentral:rRNA from 1 species
UACGUAGGGUGCAAGCGUUAAUCGGAAUUACUGGGCGUAAAGCGUGCGCAGGCGGUUUUGUAAGUCUGUCGUGAAAUCCCCGGGCUCAACCUGGGAAUUGCGAUGAGACUGCAAGGCUAGAAUCUGGCAGAGGGGGGGUAGAAUUCCACGUGUAGCAGUGAAAUGCGUAGAGAUGUGGAGGAACACCGAUGGCGAAGGCAGCCCCCUGGGUCAAGAUUGACGCUCAUGCACGAAAGCGUGGGGAGCAAACAGG